CCCAAAAACUUAAAAGAAAAACAGUGCCUCUGCAAUUCUUCUUCUCCAUCCGCCUUCUUCUUCGCCCCCGCCCCCCCCCUCAUCCGCCUUCUUCUUCCCCAAAUCGACCCCUCUUCCAUAUACCAACUCUCUUCGCCCCGAUUCUUCACCAAGUCCCGACUUCGAACCAUGCCGAUGCUCCAGCGCAGCGCACACUUCGGCGACCGGGAUCGACGCCUCCUUCACCAACUCCAGCGCGGCGCACGCUUCGGCGACCUGGAUUGAACCAAGUCCCAGCUUCGAACCCUAGGUUGUCGCAGGUGGCCUGUCAUCGAAGCCUCUCAGGAAAGCCAACUUUCCCCUCACGACCUAUCUCGCGCUCCUCUCUUUUUUCCCCAAAUCCAGAACCCUAGGUCGUUUGUCGCCACCGCCACCGCUUCCACCGGUAGUCACCUCCGUCGCAGUGAAAUACUCCGAUUUUAAUGGCGGCGACCCUCUCUCUCUCAGAUAAUAUGCACAAAUUGGGCACAACUUUAUCUUUCUAGGGUUCUAAAUUGCACCGGUAACGACAGUUCUCUCCCUAUCUCUCUCUACUCUCCAACUCCAGUAAGUCCUGAACUCUGCACUUCUCUACUCUGGGUUCGAAUUUUGAAAUUCUCGAGCAAUUUUGUAAGUUAUGCAUACUUAGUAAGUUCUAGUUCGUUUCUUCGAAGAACGGGGUGUUGCAGUUGAUUGAUUCUUGUAGUCCGAUUUAAUUCAAUUGCUUCUUGCACUGUAGUUAUUGAAUUCGCGGGGGGAUUCUGAAUUCUUAAUUGCUCCGGGUCCAAAUUGUUAUGACAGUUUUCUUAGGUGGUAAGCUUUACUUAAUUGAAUAUUAGGCAUGGUGGAUGCUCACAAUGAAAUCAUGUCUUGUAUUCCUGUGCUCUAAGACCUAAAUUUGAAACUGAUCGUGUAUUGUUAGGCUGAUGCUGGAGGUUCACCCUCACUUGUUGCUCGAGGAUUCAGCACUGUUCAGGCUGCUAGUGGUGGUGAGCAACUUGAAAUUCAAGUUCCAGUUGAAAGAUUUGAACUUGUAAAUUCUGUGAGGAUGAGGUAGUGCAGUCCCUUUGAGUAAUCAGCUUGGUGACAGCUUCUUACUUCUAUAUAAAUCAAGAAAGAAAUUAAAUUAGUGAAGCUAGUUUAAACACAAAAGUGAGAAAAGGGAAAAGUUUAGCUGUUGGAAUUCAUUUAAUUUGUGAAGCUACUUCGAUGCAUGACGCUCUCUCCUUACUGAUGAUGGGAAAUUGCAAGCUGAGACAGCUUCUGGUGAAUUCUGGGUACUCUUUGGUGGGUUUGCUCCAAUUGGUAAGAAGGUUGCUACUGAAGAUGAUAUCAUACCAGAGAAGACCCCUGCUAAGCUUUUUAGCAAGUAGAAAAGGAUAUAUUCAUCCAAGCAAUAGAGAAGGGGCAGGGAGCUACCUAUGGGAGCAUCUUGAAUGCGAUGAGGUCUACCAUCCGGCAGACUAGCGAGGAUCUAGUUGCCGGAGGGGGUGCUGUCACUACACUACUCACAAUGCUCUUGACAGGGGGGAGCGGUGUUGGACUGAGACAGGUACGUACGAAUGCACCAAUGCCAAUGCCUUAUUGAAAAUUACUACAAGAGCCUAAAUCACCAUAUGAUCAUGUUGGAUGCAGGAACCACAUCUUAGUUGUAAUGAGCGAUUUGAUGUCUUCAACCUUUCUUAAUUUCCUUUAUUUAUUGGACACUGGCUCUCUUCAAUCAACUCGAGCCUUUAUUCUAAGAAAUUGGUAUCUAUUAUUAUUAUUAUUAUUUUGAAACCAAGAAAUUGGUAUCUAUUAUACCAAUUUUAGUAAUAUUUCUUAAAAAAUGUGAAAUGGAGAAGUUUUUAGUGCUUAGUAACUUGAUAGGUUUUGUCCAUUUUACCAAUCACUUUGAUAUGCUUUUUAAGUGUUUAUCAUGAUGCUCUACAUUGUGAUUCUUGGUUGGCUCUUUGUAUGAUUUUG